UUUUCUUUCUCCACUUUCUUUCCAUCACCUACACUCUCUCAAAAUAUAUACGUAUAUAUAUUUUAUUUACCUUAUAAUAAUAAUAAAACCCUGCCCUGUUAUAAGUAUUGUAACUCCCGAUCACCGCUACCCUUUCCGAUUGAUCUGAGUCCCAUAACGCAUGUCAGGGCUCUGCCCGACUAAGUUCGUUAGGAUUCUGUCUCGGGACAUCGGGACAAGGUUGAUUUAGGGGUACUAUACUUACCAUGAGUGCAUUAUAUAUUUUUAAUAGCUCAGAAGUUAUACCCAAAAUUUAUACCAGGAGUCUUUCUAGUUGAACCCUAAAGUUACACAGUGGGUCCAUUCCUUUUUCUCACCAUUUUAUUCUCUUUUUGUGAUUCACCCAAAACUAUUAUUUUUGUAAACAAAUCUCGUCAAAAGUUAUAUCUAUUAUUUUAUUUACCUAAUAGGAAACCCUAGUUAAGACACCCAAGUAAUUCUACACAAUCCCUAAAAUUUUCAGAAUAAACAGAAUCAGGAUCAGGGUCCCUAAAACUCGAGGGGGGUAAACCCUAGUUGGACGAUUAUCUAAAAUAAUCGUUGUAGAAAGCUGAUUGGUUAAUUUUAUUGAUUCAGCAUAGCUAGUCCCAACCAUGGCCGACCUAUGAUAAAUAGGUGUCCCUUACGGACCGUAAGGGAUAUGGCUUAAGGUCCGUAAGCCUGUCCCAAAAAUUAGUAUAAAUAGCAGACAUUGGCAGUCGGUUUAUGCUGCUCAAACGACGUUCAAAGUCGUAAUACACACGGAGAUAUACUCUUAAAACACACACGAAUCACUAAUUAGUAUAGCGGGGUGCUGCUACGAUACAGGGUAUUAACUCGAUCGCUAUUACGAUUCAUUUUCCGACCGAUCAAUAUAUCCAAUGGAUGUUUAAGUGCCACCCACAUUAGGGUUAUACUUUGUCGUUCGUCGUUAAAUCGAUGGAUGUUUAAGUAUCGCACUUUGUCGUUCAUUGUUACAAGGCUAAAUCAAUAGGCUAAGCUCUGCCUGUGUAAAUCUGCAAUAUAUCAAGGCUUAUGUGUAGACUAAACUUUGGCCGUAUGAAUCUGCAUGAUUAUAAUGUGAGUCAUUCUCUCUUUUUAUCAAAUGUUUUACAAUACUCCAAAUUAUUUUCAGAAUUAUAAUUACAGUGAUUAAGUUGAUGUAAUCACCAAAUUACAGCCAGUAUGUGGGGUAUUGUGCACAUUACUACGGUUUAAAUCAUUUUAGGUGGGCGAACCUAAUUUUAAUUGAUUUACGUCAUUCAUUGGGGCAGCCAAUGGUGAUAUGACCACUGUCACAGAUCCGGUCGAGUGACAAAUACUGUGGGUAGUUGGUUGAUAUCAGAAACAUGCGUAAAAGAUCUUAACACUGUGUAUUAAAAUUAAAUGUGUCAUUUUCAGUAAAAUGAAUGAUUCACUCAGUAUUUCCCGCUGACAAAACCUUUUUAAAACGCGUUUCAGGUAAUUACAGUAGAUUGGAGUAAGGAUUGGAUCCGGCACUAAAAGACUUCAAGAAGUGGCUUAUUUUAUUAAUUAAAUCAGAUUAAGAAAUAUUGUUUUUAUUAAAAGCUACCUUUGUAAAACAUGGAAUUUAUUCCAUCUAUUUAAAUAAAAUCCGGUGUUUCUAAACUCUGAUAUUUUUCCUAACUCACGGUCCUGAUGAAAUUUCCGCUGCAAUGUUUUUCAAAAAUAAUCACCGGUACCACUGGACUGCUCACGGCUGCCGAUUCCGGCCAGGAUGGGGUCGGGGGUCGUGACAGUAAAGGUGGUAUCAGAGCUAAGCCACUACUUUAAGCCUAUAAGUGUUACAAUAAUAAUACUUAAGCUUAAAUAAAAGAGUUAGGAGAUUUCUAUUAACUUAACUGGUAGCACAACCGAUAGCAGUUAGAUUUGAACAUAAGAAAAGAUGCCUUAAUAUAAGCUAAGCCACUUGUUUACGCAAUUAGGUGUUAUAACAAUACCUAAGUUUAAAUGGAGAAUUAGAAAUUAAUAUUAUCCGAUAGCACUCUGAAUGAUAAUUAGACUCGAACUUAAGAAUUUUGUCUUAAUAUAAGCUUCAAGAUAAAAUUACUUAUAUAAGUAUAAAUAAGUAUAAUUGGUAUUCAAUAAGAAUAACGACUAGCAGGCAAUAGCAUUUACUAUUUAUUCUUGUUUAUUGAUAUUACUUGGUUUAGAAUAAAGAUAUGUUAUGGAAAUACAAAUUUCCUUGAUUCUGGAUAAAAGCCCUAAUAAAAGAGGCACUUUUAAAAUCUUGAAAAGAUACUAUUUAUGGGAAAUAGAAAAUUUUCUCCGACAAAACUGGGUAUAGAGUAGCAGACUCUCCAGCU
rnacentral:lncRNA from 1 species